rnacentral:lncRNA from 1 species
CUAAACCUGAGGCAGGUGUAAAUUUACUCUGUCCCAACACAGCAGGCACAAAAGGACUCUGAUUCCUAUACUAGAGCUUCCAGCUGAGACCUUGGCUGAGGAGUUGCCUCUGCAUAGACAUACAAGAACAGGCUUUAGGUUUUAGUAUUUUUUUACAUAAAGGUCUGGAUACAGUGCAAGUUGCUAACGGCACAUGGACCUAAUCUGAGGCAGCCCAGCUUCUGGAGUCUGCAGGCUGAAUUAGUUGAAAAGGACUUAAGACACAUUGCCCAAAUAUGAGGCUUUUUUUAGAUGUGUCACAUACCCAGAGCUGGUGACGAGGGAGCUGAAGUGGGAGUGCGUCAAGACGACGUUUGUGGCAGCACACUCUGUAGCACAGCCUGCGUUGGCUCACUUGCUAGGCAACCUCUGAAUGCUGCCUUUCUCAAGUGUUUGGGAGGAGGUGAGCUGAUCUCCUU